CUUCAAACAAACAUAUUAAGACCAUACAUGUGUCCCCAGGCCUAGUUCUUUCCCUAUGUCUGGUUUUAUAAAUGCUGGUGAUAAAA